rnacentral:rRNA from 1 species
UUUAAUUAUCAUAUAUAAAAGUGAAAAUAUAAAAUAUAAAUUAAUUUUAGUUGGGGCAACUGGGAGGGAUAAAAAUCUUUUAUUAAAUCAUUUAAUAGUAAUAUUUAUAUUUAUGAUCCAAAUUAGUUAAUUUUGAACUUAGAAU